UAAAAAUGGAAAAAAGUGUGUUUGAUUUUGGGGGUGAGCGACGGGAGGUAGAAUCUUGAAACCCCGAAUUCCGCCACCGUGGUCUGAUCUUACUUACUUUAGCGAGGUGUUGAUUCGCACACACAAACAAUGGCGAAAACUUUUACUCUUCUUCAGACGCUUGCUACUGCGGCUGGUUUUUCUGCCCUUACAUGCUGGUAUGGCUAUAUGUUUGGAAAAGAAUCUGCUCGUAAGGAACUCAGCACUUUGAUUGAAGAUCUUCGCCGCGGAAAUACUGAUUCUGGCUCUUCACAUUCAUAACAUGGUUGACAGCAGAUGUUUUGAAGAGAUGCGAAGUUGCACAUUCAGGGAUUUGCCUUCUCACUGGUUGCCUCAAAUAUUUUCAGUGAGAUUUGUAGCUUGUCCCAUUUUAAGAUUUUCUUUGUUGCAUCAGUUUGUAAUUCUUGCUAAAGAUGAUGGAGUUAAACAAUCUUAUAUGCAACUUCAAGUGGGGAAAUUUAGUUUCUGACUUCUAAUACUACAUCUAAUAAAAAUUCCUUGGAUUUCGAAGUUAAAAUUUCCUCAAGCAUGAUGCAUUUGAAAUCUGCAUCUUGAACUCAGAAUUUAGUUAAAGCCCAAUAAUCAACAUUUGAAAUUACAAUCUUCGAUGCAUGUUAUGGAAUGAUGAAUCUGGUGGUGAUA